UACGGGGGGGGCAAGCGUUGUUCGGAAUUACUGGGCGUAAAGGGCGCGUAGGCGGUCUUGUCAGUCCCUUGUGAAAUCCCCCGGCUCAACUGGGGAACUGCACGGGAAACAGCAGGGCUUGAGUUCGGGAGAGGGAAGCGGAAUUCCGGGUGUAGCGGUGAAAUGCGUAGAUAUCCGGAGGAACACCGGUGGCGAAGGCGGCUUCCUGGACCGAUACUGACGCUGAGGCGCGAAAGCUAGGGGAGCAAACGGG
rnacentral:rRNA from 1 species